rnacentral:tRNA from 1 species
GAUAUGAUAAGCUAAAUAAGCUUUCGGGCCCAUACCCCGAGAAUGAUGGUUAAACCCCAUCCCGUGUCA